rnacentral:lncRNA from 1 species
GCCGAUCUUCUCCGGUCGCGAAGAAGGAGGGUAACUCUUUCCUUAUCUUGACUAUUGUAUGUGUUAUGUGUGAUUACCUGGCUCAGUAGGUGAGUAUCUGAUUUUCUGUGUGAAUAUCUGGUUCUGUGUGUGAAUAUUUGGUUUUGCCUGUGAAUAUCUUGUGUGAUUAUGGCUUCCAAUACCAUUGUGUGUGGAUAUUUGAUUUUACCUGUGAAUAACUGGUGUGAUUAUGGCUUCCAAUACCAAUACUAGUGCUUCUACUUCGAUAGAUUCUACCAGUCCCCUCUUUGUAUAUUCUUCUGAUGUCCCUGGUGUGUCCCUAGNNNNNNNNNNNNNNCCGGUACUGGUUAUGGGGGCUGGAGACGUAAAAUGAUUGUUGCCUUAUAUGCUAAAAAUAAAAUCGGAUUUGUUGACGGUUCAUGUCCUCGUCCUAACAAUAAUGUGGCUCAACAGAGAUUGUGGGAUAGGUGUAAUAACAUGGUCAUCUCUUGGUUGACCUCCUCUCUGUCUCCACAAAUUGCUGAUACUGUGCAGUAUUCCGAUACUGCACAGAGUAUCUGGUCCCAAAUUGAGAAAAGAUAUGGUACCCCUAACAAGACCAAUAUCUUUGAAUUAAAGAGGGAACUCUCACAUAUAUCCCAAGGCUCCUUAGAUAUAGCCUCUUACUUCGACAAGCUCAAAGGCUUGUGGGAUGAAUUGGGCAUUAUGUGCACAAAUCAUGGGCAUAGAUGUGUGUGUGCUGCCAAAAAUGUGAUAAUUGAGGAAGAUGAUGAAAACAAGGUUUUUCAGUUUCUUAUGGGGUUGAAUGAAGUGUAUAUGGGGGUUAGGAGCAAUUUGUUGAUGAUGCAGCCAUUUCCUUGCUAGUUUCACCAUCGAAGUGUAUAUGGGGGUUAGGAGCAAUUUGUUGAUGAUGCAGCCAUUUCCUUCCCUUGACAGUGUUUACAAUAGCUUGAUGAUGAGAAACAAAGACAAGUUCAAUCUACUUCUCAUAUUAGUCCAGAUUCUAUGUCUUUCAAUACUCAUGUAAAUAAGCACUCAGUUGGGUCUCAUCAGGCCACAGUGCCUCGACCUCCCAUUAUUUUCAGACCAGAAUUAAUUUUGAGCAAAACAGAGGGCCCCUAUUCUGCAGAUAUUGCAAGAAAUCUGGGCACUUAAUUGAUAAGUGCUACAAGAUACAUGGGUUCCCUCAAAGCAUUAAUUACAACANN